rnacentral:rRNA from 2 species
GGCGAGUGAGCGGCAACAGCUCAAAUUUGAAAGCUAGCCUUCGGGUUCGCAUUGUAAUUUGUAGAGGAUGAUUUGGGGAAGCCGCCUGUCUAAGUUCCUUGGAACAGGACGUCAUAGAGGGUGAGAAUCCCGUAUGUGACAGGAAAUGGCACCCUAUGUAAAUCUCCUUCGACGAGUCGAGUUGUUUGGGAAUGCAGCUCUAAAUGGGAGGUAAAUUUCUUCUAAAGCUAAAUAUUGGCGAGAGACCGAUAGCGCACAAGUAGAGUGAUCGAAAGAUGAAAAGCACUUUGGAAAGAGAGUUAAAAAGCACGUGAAAUUGUUGAAAGGGAAGCGCUUGCAAUCAGACUUGUUUAAACUGUUCGGCCGGUCUUCUGACCGGUUUACUCAGUUUGGACAGGCCAGCAUCAGUUUCGGCGGCCGGAUAAAGGCUCUGGGAAUGUGGCCUCCACUUCGGUGGAGGUGUUAUAGCCCAGGGUGUAAUACGGCCAGCCGGGACUGAGGUCCGCGCUUCGGCUAGGAUGCUGGCGUAAUGGUUGUAAGCGACCCGUCUUGAAACACGG